rnacentral:rRNA from 1 species
UACGUAGGGGGCAAGCGUUGUCCGGAUUUAUUGGGCGUAAAGCGCUCGCAGGUGGUUCGUCGCGUCGUGCGUGAAAGACCCCGGCUCAACUGGGGAGGGUCGUGCGAUACGGGCGGACUGGAGGCCAGUAGGGGGAUGCGGAAUUCCGGGUGUAGUGGUGGAAUGCGUAGAGAUCCGGAGGAACACCAGCGGCGAAGGCAGCUUGCUGGGACGUUACUGACACUGAGGCGCGAAAGCGUGGGGAGCGAACAGG